CGCAAGACCGCGAGGUUUAGCAAAUCUCUUAAAGCCGUUCUCAGUUCGGAUUGUAGGCUGCAACUCGCCUACAUGAAGUCGGAAUCGCUAGUAAUCGCGGAUCAGCAUGCCGCGGUGAAUACGUUCCCGGGCCUUGUACACACCGCCCGUCACACCAUGAGAGUUUGUAACACCCAAAGCCGGUGGGGUAACCUUUUGGAGCCAGCCGUCUAAGGUGGGACAGAUGAUUGGAGUGAAGUCGUAACAAGGUAAC
rnacentral:rRNA from 1 species